rnacentral:rRNA from 1 species
CGCAAGCCUGACGGAGCAACACCGCGUGUGGGAUGAAGGCCUGUGGGUUGUAAACCACUUUUCUCAGGGACGAAGCUCUGACGGUACCUGAGGAAUCAGCCUCGGCUAACUCYGUGCCAGCAGCCGCGGUAAGACAGAGGAGGCAAGCGUUAUCCGGAAUUAUUGGGCGUAAAGCGUCCGUAGGUGGUUUGACAAGUCUGGGGUUAAAGCCCGGAGCCCAACUCCGGAUCGGCCCUGGAAACUGUCAAACUUGAGUAAGGUAGGGGUUGCGGGAAUUCCCGGUGUAGCGGUGAAAUGCGUAGAUAUCGGGAAGAACACCAGCGGCGAAAGCGCGCAACUGGGCCAUUACUGACACUGAGGGACGAAAGCUAGGGGAGCG